rnacentral:rRNA from 1 species
CGCGGCCUAUCAGCUUGUUGGUGAGGUAAUGGCUCACCAAGGCGACGACGGGUAGCUGGUCUGAGAGGAUGUCCGGCCACACUGGGACUGAGACACGGCCCAGACUCCUACGGGAGGCAGCAGUGGGGAAUAUUGCACAAUGGACGAAAGUCUGAUGCAGCGACGCCGCGUGCGGGAUGAAGGCCUUCGGGUUGUAAACCUCUUUCAGCAGGGAAGAAACUGACGUGACCUGCCCAGCAAACCACGCCCCACUACAUGCCAUGCCCCCCGCCACUACAUAAGGUGCGGGGCUAGCCUUGAUUUGAAGUAUUGAGCGAACUCAUAUGGGAUUCGGUUUGUCGCAUCUGACAUGUCCGUCCUCGGCUUAAACGCGGAUCUCCAUACUGCCCUGACUAACUAUCGGGCAGGAAGUGAGACAGUCCUGCCGGAUGUAUGAAAGGAAUGCAUAUAUAGAAGAACGAACACCGAUGGCGAAGGCUCUCUCUGGAUUGUGACUGACGCUAAGGAACGAAAGCAUGGCGAGCAAAAUUAAAUACCCUGCCUGGUACGCAUGCCGUAGAGGUUGGGCACUGUGGGAGGGGACAUUCCACGGUUUGCCGCGCCGCAGCUAACGCAUUGCCCCGCCCCGCCUGGGGAGUACUCAAUCACGAAUUGAAUUCGCGCCCGCCUG